rnacentral:tRNA from 1 species
ACCAAAAUAGCUCAGUCGGGAGAGCGUUAGACUAGAGAUCGGAAAGUCCCUGGUUCGAUCCCGGGUUCCGGCA